AUGAAUUUCAUCCCCAUCUUCAUCUGGACUCUGGGCUGUUACGCACAAGGGUCUUGGGGCCAGUAUGUAUUGACUCAGUCUGCAGCUCAAUCAGUCCAGCCUGGUCAAACUGUCUCUAUUGACUGUAGCACCAGUAGUAAAGUUACUCAGUACUCUGGCUCACAGUAUUACCUGGCCUGGUACCAUCAGAUGUCUGGAGAAGCUCCUCAACUCCUGAUCUGUUACACAUCAGACAGGUUCACAGGAGUUUCCACCAGGUUCAGUGGAAGUGGGAGAGGAAAUGGUAUUGACUUCACUCUGACCAUCAGUGAUGUCCAGGCUGAGGAUACAGGAGUUUACUACUGUCAGAGUCACCACAGUGGUCCUUUUGUAUCACUGUGGUACACUUUUGUUGGAGGCACUAGACUGAAUGUUGGAAGUGACGUUCGUCCCACCAUGACAGUCCUGCCCCCCUCCAGUGUGGAGCUGCAGCAGGGGAAGGCCACUCUCAUGUGCCUGGCAAACAAGGUCUUCCCCUCAGACUGGAAGAUGAGCUGGAAGGUGGAUGGGAGCAGUAGCAGGGGAGGACGGUGGACUCUGACCUGGUGGACCUUCAUGGUGUUUUAGGUCAGGUCGUGACAAGGGGGGUUUCUAGAUAGAAAUAUACUAUUUGGUGUAUGUGUAUGGUUCCCAAUUGGAGGCAACUGAUAAUCGUUGCCUCUAAUUGGGGAUCAUACUUAGUGUGUUCCUUUUCCCACCUGCGAUGUGGGAUAGAUAUUGUUUUGUAGUAGUGCCUAUGUGCUCUACGUACUUCACAUCAUUAUAUCUUUGUGUCACGAUCGUCGUAUUGAGUAGACCAAAUCGCAGUGUGGUGUGAAUGCAUGAUUUUAAUGAAAGACGAAAAAAACACGAAGUAUACUAACAAACAAACUAACUAACAAGACGAACGUGACUGCUAUCAAAACACUGUGCUAACGUGCAACAUAACAUAGACAAUAACCCACGAACCACAAUACAAAACAGGCUACCUAAAUAUGGUUCCCAAUCAGAGACAACGACAAACACCUGAUUGAGAACCAUAUCAGGCCAAAACAAAUAGAAAUAGACAAACUAGACAUACAACAUAGAAUGCCCACUCAUAUCACACCCUGACCAAACAAAACAUAGAAUCAAACAAUGCAAAUCAUGGUCAGAGUGUGACAGUACCCCUCCUAAGAUGCGGACUCCGCAAAACCUAAACCUACAGGGGAGGGUCUGGGUGGGCAUCUGGCCGCGGUGGCGGCUUUGGCGCGGGACAUGGACCACACUCCACCAUAGUCAUUGCCCUCUUCAAGGGCCUCUUUAGAGUGACGACCCUCGCCUCCGACCUUGGGCCUGAGACCCUAAUUAAAGGCCCCACUGGACUGAGGAGCGCCUCUGGACUGAGGGGCAGCUCCGAACUGAGGGGCAGCUCCUGUCUGGCUGACGGCUCUGGUGGCUCGUGGCUGACUUACGGCUCUGGCGGCUCCUGGCUGGCUGACGGCUCUGGCGGAUCCUGGCUGGCCGGCGGCUCCUGGCUGGCUGGCGGAUCUGGCUGGCCGGCGGCUCUGGCAGCUCCUGGCUGACCGACGGCUCUGGCAGCUCCUGGCUGACCGGCAGUUCCUGGCUGACCGGUGACUCUGGCGGCUCAGGACAGACGGGGGACUCUGGCGGCUCAGGACAGACGGGGGACUCUGGCGGCUCAGGACAGACGGGGGACUCUGGCGGCUCAGGACUGACGGGGGACUCUGGCGGCU